AGGCCCGCCUGGGUAAUCGUGAGCCGCGAGCCCAGUAUCGAGCCUUGCAGCGUGGACAGUAACGGACACGUCGAUGCGUAGGCCAGAGCAGCAGGCGAGGGGCAAAGGUAACGGGUGAAGCCGACCCUGAAGGUGUUGAGCCCCGAAAAUUUCGGUUGGUGAGUGCCGACGGUUUUGUCCCGCCGGUAGGCAACAAUGCGUGUCGCGCUCUGGCGAGCGGCACGGAUACUCCCCGGGGUCCGAGGC
rnacentral:ncRNA from 1 species